UAAUCUUAAAUGUGACCCGUUAGAUGUCGGAAUAUUCUGAAAAAGAUUCCUGUCACAGAAGCAAAUUUCGUGUGAAUGUUUCGUUACUCGACGAAAAUACCCCUCCGUCUUUUAUACAUUUACAUAAAAAACACAACUCUUUCUUUUCGCUAUUCCCUCUUCAGUUCCACCAUCACCACCCUAUCGUUACCAUCGCCACCAGCAGCACCAUCACCCCCACCAUUAUCAUUAUCACCAGAAACACCAUCACGGAGAUCAAAUACAGGAAACUGAUUAAGUAAUGGAGUCUUCUUCCAACGGAUUAAUUGAAGUUGAAAUUGAAGAUUUAUAAAAACAAAUUGGGAGAAUAAGCUGUUUCCUCCAAAAAUUCUUUGCUCAUCAAGAAUUGUUCUUUUUUGCUCCAUGUCGCAAUUCAAAGAAUCUGUGAAAAACUGUAAAGAAGAUAAGGGGUCAUCUUAAUUUUUAGUACCUGACUGUAAGGUGGGCAACUGCAUCUAUGUAGACUUUGACAAAUUCAACUAUUUACUCAAAUGGAGAUUAUGCUACAUUAUUAUGGAGUUUAAAUUAGCAUGUCCACAAUUGGAACUUUGCAUAUAAUUCAUGGGCUGCUUUAGCAUUACAUCUCUCCUUCGUCAUAGGCCAUAGAAUCGGUACUCAAGACCAAAUUGUGAGCUCCUUAUCAGAAAUGAAAUUACAACAGUGAAAUGGGUAUGAAAGAUUGCGAUCAUGUCAAUUUAUCAUGGAAGUGCAACCCUGUAGAAGUAAGACAAUUGAACUAUUUGCAUGUUUGUUAACUGUCUAUGUUUGUGGCGCUUGGGAAGAUGGCCAAAUUUUAAAAUAGUCGCAAGAAGAAGUUCUUAGUUGCAGACCUUAUGAAAGAUCUUGGUGGCGUUACUUUUAUUGUAGGCAUUUGGUAUUUACUUUUAUUGCAGGCAUGUGUGUAUACCGACCCGUACUUUCCAGCCAUUAGCAAAUCAUGCUCUGUUUCUUAUUUGUACUGUACCCAAGUUGAGAUGUUCAUCGUUUGUUGUUGGUAUCAUGUUAAGCAAAUGGUUCAACGGGACGAAGGCGUAUUUGAAACUCAGUGGCCGACGUGCAACGCACGUGCACUCUACUUGUGUUUAUAAUUUGUUAACUGGUUCAUACUAAAGUCUGUAAUCGAUACUAAUGAUCGUUGGUUCAUACCAGAGUCAAUAUAUAAUCUGUUACUUAGCCUGUAAU